rfam:Sistotremastrum niveocremeum HHB9708 unplaced genomic scaffold SISNIscaffold_21, whole genome shotgun sequence.
GGCGAUCUGGCCGAGCGGUCUAAGGCGUCAGACUAAGGAUCUGAUCUCUUCGGGGGCCUGGGUUCGAAUCCCAGGGUCGUCA